rnacentral:tRNA from 1 species
GGGCCCGUAGCUCAGCCAGGUCAGAGCGUCCGACAGCCCACCGGGUGGUCGAGGGUUCAAAUCCCUCCGGGCCCA